rnacentral:rRNA from 1 species
CUGUCUUAGUGGCGGACGGGUGAGUAACGCGUGGGCAACCUGCCCUGUACCGGGGGAUAACACUUAGAAAUAGGUGCUAAUACCGCAUAAUAGGGAAUACCGCAUGGUAAUCCUUUGAAAACUCCGGUGGUACAGGAUGGGCCCGCGUCUGAUUAGCCAGUUGGCGGGGUAACGGCCCACCAAAGCGACGAUCAGCAGCCGGCCUGAGAGGGUGGACGGCCACACUGGGACUGAGACACGGCCCAGACUCCUACGGGAGGCAGCAG